rnacentral:rRNA from 1 species
GAGACGACGCUGGCGGCGUGCCUAACACAUGUAAGUCGAGCGGGGGGAACCGCAAGGUUUCUCUAGCGGCGGACGGGUGAGUAACGCGUGGAUAACCUGCCUCAAGGGUCGGGAUAACAGUUCGAAAGGGCUGCUAAUACCGGAUGUGAUACAUUCUUCGCAUGGGGGAUGUAUGAAAGGGGAAACCCGCCUUGAGAUGGAUCCGCGUCCCAUCAGCUAGUUGGUAGGGUAAAGGCCUACCAAGGCGACGACGGGUAGCCGGCCUGAGAGGGUGACCGGCCACACUGGGACUGAGAUACGGCCCAGACUCCUACGGGGGGCAGCAGUGGGGAAUAUUGCACAAUGGGCGAAAGCCUGAUGCAGCGACGCCGCGUGAGCGAAGAAGGCCUUCGGGUUGUAAAGCUCUGUCUGGAGGGACGAAGAAAGUGACGGUACCUCCGGAGGAAGCCACGGCUAACUACGUG